UGGUGUGGUUACUACACAGUGCGGGCAAUCAAUGGCAAAGCCAAGCAGUCAAUCAUUUAGUAGUGGGUAUUUAAAGCUUAACGUAAUAAUAAUUUUUAAAAGGGGUUAAUGUUAUAUGAACUUAAUCAUGUUAUUUACCAAGGAUUCAAUUAAAUUCAGGGUUAUCACCACAGAAAAAGAGGGGAGGAUAUGAGAGGGCAAAAAAUAGCAGUACAUUGGAGAAUAGAGACUGUGACAAGAGUUUACUGCUAAGGAAAAAAAAAUGAAACACAACACUUGACCCCGCUGAGAAAAUAACAAGGAUGAUGCCACGCAUGCAGUCUGGUGUUUCGAAGCAUUUCACCCCGGCUAUCAAAGAAGGAGGACCAACCCGCCCCAUUACCACAGAAGAAAAUACAACAAGACAAAUGGCAGCAAGCUGGCCAUGCAUUAAGUGGAAGAGAGCAAACAGCACUUGCCAGGGGUGAAAUUAGCAGAGUAAGUAAGAAGAUAUAGCUCAGCUUACUGUGU